UCCCUGGCAGUCCAGUGGUUAGGACUCUGCACUCUCACUGCAGAGGACCCAGGUUCAAUCCCUGGUUGGGGAA